rnacentral:ncRNA from 1 species
GAAGGCGCGAAGAACCCGGAAUGUGGGCUUAGAAGUAGCCAUCAUUUAAAGAGUGUGUAGUAACUCACCGGCGGAGUUCCUUC